rnacentral:rRNA from 1 species
AUUGAACGCUGGCGGCAUGCCUUACACAUGCAAGUCGAACGGCAGCACGGACUUCGGUCUGGUGGCGAGUGGCGAACGGGUGAGUAAUGUAUCGGAACGUACCCUUCAGUGGGGGAUAACUAUCCGAAAGGAUAGCUAAUACCGCAUAUUCUCUGAGGCGGAAAGCGGGGGCUCGCAAGACCUAGCGCUGAUGGAGCGGCCGAUAUCAGAUUAGCUAGUUGGUGGGGUAAAGGCCAAACAAGGCGACGAUCUGUAGCGGGUCUGAGAGGAUGAUCCGCCACACUGGGACUGAGACACGGCCCAGACUCCUACGGGAGGCAGCAGUGGGGAAUUUUGGACAAUGGGGGCAACCCUGAUCCAGCCAUGCCGCGUGAGUGAAGAAGGCCUUCGGGUUGUAAAGCUCUUUCGGCCGGGAAGAAAUCGCGUGAGUUAAUACCUUGCGUGGAUGACGGUACCGGAAUAAGAAGCACCGGCUAACUACGUGCCAGCAGCCGCCGUAA